GCCUUGUGGAGAUCUCAUGGCACAAGGGGCAGAGGUGUGAUUCAAACCAACAGUCUGAUUCUAGGGCCCCAUCUUUACCUCCACACUCUUACUUUCCCAGAUGAAUUAUCUGAGAAAUAUGUCAUCUCCAGCUUGGAUUAAGAAAUACUAAAUCAUAGGAUGAUUCAGAACC